rnacentral:rRNA from 1 species
CCUACGGGUGGCAGCAGUGGGGGAUAUUGCACAAUGGGGGAAACCCUGAUGCAGCGACGCCGCGUGUGGGAAGACGGUCCUCUGGAUUGUAAACCACUGUCCCCAGGGACGAAAAUGACGUAACCUGGGGAGGAAGCUCCGGCUAACUACGUGCCAGCAGCGGCGGUAAUACGUAGGAAGCGAGCGUUGUCCGGAAUUACUGGGUGUAAAGGGGGCGUAGGCGGGGAUGCAAGUUGGGUGUCAAAACUACCGGCUCAACUGGUAGUCGCACUCAAAACUGCAGCUCUUGAGUGAAGUAGAGGCAGGCGGAAUUCCUAGUGUAGCGGUGAAAUGCGUAGAUAUUAGGAGGAACACCAGUGGCGAAGGCGGCCUGCUGGGCUUUUACUGACGCUGAGGCUCGAAAGUGUGGGGAGCAAACAGGAUUAGAUACCCUUGUAGUC